GAUGAACGCUGGCGGCGUGCUUAACACAUGCAAGUCGAACGAUGAAGCCCAGCUUGCUGGGUGGAUUAGUGGCGAACGGGUGAGUAACACGUGAGUAACCUGCCCUUAACUCUGGGAUAAGCCUGGGAAACUGGGUCUAAUACCGGAUAGGAGCGUCCACCGCAUGGUGGGUGUUGGAAAGAUUUAUCGGUUUUGGAUGGACUCGCGGCCUAUCAGCUUGUUGGUGAGGUAAUGGCUCACCAAGGCGACGACGGGUAGCCGGCCUGAGAGGGUGACCGGCCAACCGGGAACUGGGACACGGCCAGACUCCUACGGGAGGCAGCAGUGGGGAAUAUUGCACAAUGGGCGCAAGCCUGAUGCAGCGACGCCGCGUGAGGGAUGACGGCCUUCGGGUUGUAAACCUCUUUCAGUAGGGAAGAAGCGAAAGUGACGGUACCUGCAGAAGAAGCACCGGCUAACUACGUG
rnacentral:rRNA from 1 species